UUUUUCCUUACCACUGUUGCUCUGGGGUUAGUAAGGUUAGACCUUACCUGUGUGAAGCGCUUUGAGGCAACUCUUGUGAUUUGCCACUAUAUAAAUGAAAAUAAAUUGAAAUUGAAACUUGAUCACUGCCUAUUUGUUUGCCUCAGGGAGACUUUGGAGGAGCACGAUCGGCCUCAUUUAACCCAGUGUGAUCAGCUGCAGAGAAGACGGAGCACAGCGUGUCGUCAGAGUCUCAACCAGACAGGGAGGAUACUGAUGAUGAUGGAGAUGAUCCCUCUUUUGUUCUGGAUGAGGAACCAGAGCAGGUGGAUCCACCGACGUGCGCACAGAUCUCCACAGUGGAUUGGAUCACGUGCUUCUGUUUGGAGCUGAGCUCCGUCCCAGCACCGAGUCCUGGAACGCAGAGAUGCAGACACACACUGAUCCAGCAGUGGCUCCAGGAAUCGUCAUGUGCUGUGUGACCGGGCCACUUGGAUGUUAGCCUCCUGUCCAACACUGCAGUCCAGUUGGUGAUGGUAAUGCUCUAUAUAAGCUGGUUGCCAACCGCCAUUAAACACAAAGAAGAAGAAGAAGGAAAGGGUGACGGAAAUAGGAGUAGAGGAAGAGAGACUAGCUACGAGCGACAGUUUAAGUUUCACUCAUUACCAUUUUUGUUUGUUCAUGUAAAUGGGGAAUCUUCUUCACAGACUAAAGUUAAUUAUGGAGUUCCACAAGGUUCUGUGCUAGGACCAAUUUUAUUCACUUUAUACAUGCU